rnacentral:rRNA from 1 species
UACGGAGGGUGCGAGCGUUGUUCGGAAUCACUGGGCGUAAAGGGCGUGUAGGCGGCCCGCUAAGUCUGAUGUGAAAGCCCGGGGCUCACCCCCGGAAGGGCAUUGGAAACUGGCGGACUCGAGUCCCGGAGAGGAGGGUGGAAUUCCCGGGUGUAGCGGUGAAAUGCGUAGAUAUCGGGAGGAACACCGGCGGCGAAGGCGGCCCUCUGGACGGUGACUGACGCUAAGACGCGAAAGCGUGGGAGCAACAGG